rnacentral:snRNA from 1 species
GUGCUUGCUUCAGCAGCACAUAUACUAAAAUUGAAACGAUACAGAGUAGAUUAGCAUAUCCCCUGCUCAAAAGACUUGCUUGCAUGAGGCUCCAAGGUCCC